rnacentral:tRNA from 1 species
CAGGGAGACAACAAAAUGUUUAAUAUUAUUAUUUUGUCACCUUAGGUCGAUCGGUAUCUCACAUUCUUAAUUUAUUGAGGAUUUUAUUUCCUAAGUUUUUUCUAGGUCACACCCAUUACUUUUCCUGGGCCAUUAGCUCAGGUGGUUAGAGCGCACCCCUGAUAAGGGUGAGGUCCCUGGUUCAAGUCCAGGAUGGCCCAUAUCUCUAUGUUGGGGGUAUAGCUCAGUUGGUAGAGCGCCUGCUUUGCAAGCAGGAUGUCAGCGGUUCGAGUCCGCUUACCUCCACUGAUUACCACCUCUUCCAUAAUUUUUAUUAAGGAAAUGUAUUGAGUAGUGAUCAAAUUCUGAACGAAUCUAGCUUCCUAAUGAAAUCAUUAAGAUGCUGGACUCAUUGAAUUAAUUUCAUUGUUUUCAGAGAACCUUGACAACUGCAUAGAUUAUUUUUAAAGACAAUAAGCAUCUUUAUGAUGCAGAUUUAUUAUUUGUGCGAAUGCAUUAAUAACAAUUCUAUUAAGCUGAUGCUUCAAUUAUGAAGUUAUU